rnacentral:rRNA from 1 species
CCUCGGAUCAGGUAGGAAUACCCGCUGAACUUAAGCAUAUCAAUAGGCGG